rnacentral:rRNA from 1 species
UACGUAGGGUGCAAGCGUUAUCCGGAAUUAUUGGGCGUAAAGAGCUCGUAGGCGGUUUGUCGCGUCUGCUGUGAAAACUGGGGGCUCAACCCUCAGCCUGCAGUGGGUACGGGCAGACUAGAGUGCGGUAGGGGAGAUUGGAAUUCCUGGUGUAGCGGUGGAAUGCGCAGAUAUCAGGAGGAACACCGAUGGCGAAGGCAGAUCUCUGGGCCGUAACUGACGCUGAGGAGCGAAAGCAUGGGGAACGAACAGG